UGGGGAAUAUUGGACAAUGGGCGAAAGCCUGAUCCAGCCAUGCCGCGUGCAGGAUGACGGUCCUAUGGAUUGUAAACUGCUUUUGUACAGGAAGAAACAGUUCUACGUGUAGAACCUUGACGGUACUGUAAGAAUAAGGAUCGGCUAACUCCGUGCCAGCAGCCGCGGUAAUACGGAGGAUCCAAGCGUUAUCCGGAAUCAUUGGGUUUAAAGGGUCCGUAGGCGGUUAGAUAAGUCAGUGGUGAAAGCCCAUCGCUCAACGGUGGAACGGCCAUUGAUACUGUCUGACUUGAAUUAUUAGGAAGUAACUAGAAUAUGUAGUGUAGCGGUGAAAUGCUUAGAGAUUACAUGGAAUACCAAUUGCGAAGGCAGGUUACUACUAAUGGAUUGACGCUGAUGGACGAAAGCGUGGGUAGCGAACAGGAUUAGAUACCCCCGUAGUCCCUGAGCGGGCUGGCAAGGCGCAU
rnacentral:rRNA from 1 species